GAUGAACGCUGGCGGCGUGCCUAAUACAUGCAAGUCGAGCGAACGGACGAGAAGCUUGCUUCUCUGAUGUUAGCGGCGGACGGGUGAGUAACACGUGGAUAACCUACCUAUAAGACUGGGAUAACUUCGGGAAACCGGAGCUAAUACCGGAUAAUAUUUUGAACCGCAUGGUUCAAAAGUGAAAGACGGUCUUGCUGUCACUUAUAGAUGGAUCCGCGCUGCAUUAGCUAGUUGGUAAGGUAACGGCUUACCAAGGCAACGAUGCAUAGCCGACCUGAGAGGGUGAUCGGCCACACUGGAACUGAGACACGGUCCAGACUCCUACGGGAGGCAGCAGUAGGGAAUCUUCCGCAAUGGGCGAAAGCCUGACGGAGCAACGCCGCGUGAGUGAUGAAGGUCUUCGGAUCGUAAAACUCUGUUAUUAGGGAAGAACAUAUGUGUAAGUAACUGUGCACAUCUUGACGGUACCUAAUCAGAAAGCCACGGCUAACUACGUGCCAGCAGCCGCGGUAAUACGUAGGUGGCAAGCGUUAUCCGGAAUUAUUGGGCGUAAAGCGCGCGUAGGCGGUUUUUUAAGUCUGAUGUGAAAGCCCACGGCUCAACCGUGGAGGGUCAUUGGAAACUGGAAAACUUGAGUGCGGAAGAGGAAAGUGGAAUUCCAUGUGUGGCGGUGAAAUGCGCAGAGAUAUGGAGGAACACCAGUGGCGAAGGCGACUUUCUGGUCUGUAACUGACGCUGAUGUGCGAAAGCGUGGGGAUCAAACAGGAUUAGAUACCCUGGUAGUCCACGCCGUAAACGAUGAGUGCUAAGUGUUAGGGGGUUUCCGCCCCUUAGUGCUGCAGCUAACGCAUUAAGCACUCCGCCUGGGGAGUACGACCGCAAGGUUGAAACUCAAAGGAAUUGACGGGGACCCGCACAAGCGGUGGAGCAUGUGGUUUAAUUCGAAGCAACGCGAAGAACCUUACCAAAUCUUGACAUCCUUUGACAACUCUAGAGAUAGAGCCUUCCCCUUCGGGGGACAAAGUGACAGGUGGUGCAUGGUUGUCGUCAGCUCGUGUCGUGAGAUGUUGGGUUAAGUCCCGCAACGAGCGCAACCCUUAAGCUUAGUUGCCAUCAUUAAGUUGGGCACUCUAAGUUGACUGCCGGUGACAAACCGGAGGAAGGUGGGGAUGACGUCAAAUCAUCAUGCCCCUUAUGAUUUGGGCUACACACGUGCUACAAUGGACAAUACAAAGGGCAGCGAAACCGCGAGGUCAAGCAAAUCCCAUAAAGUUGUUCUCAGUUCGGAUUGUAGUCUGCAACUCGACUACAUGAAGCUGGAAUCGCUAGUAAUCGUAGAUCAGCAUGCUACGGUGAAUACGUUCCCGGGUCU
rnacentral:rRNA from 1 species